UGCCUUUUCCUCUAACGGUUUCAGAGUUUU
rnacentral:piRNA from 1 species